CUGGCCUGAGGAGGAAGAAUGAGGAAGCACAUCAAGGCCGCUCCCGGGUGAGGCAGGCCAGGCUCCCAGCAGCCAGCAGAUCACUCCCGUUGGGGGAAGCCAAUGCUAGGUCACAAGGACACUCAAGCAGCCCUGUGGAGAGAGCCUCACGGCAGGGAACUGAGGCCUCCCACCAACAGCCAUGAGGGAGCCAUCCGGGAAGCAGGCCCUCCAGUCUCAGUCGAGCCUUCAGAUGAUGUGUGACUGCGACCACAUGGGAGACCCCGAACCAGAACCAUCUGGCCAAUGCGCUCCUGGAUUGCUGACCCACAGAGACCAGCUGAGCCCAGUGCCUGACUCGCAGGAAGUUCUCAAUAACUGGAGAAACAAAUGGGCUCCUGGCACUGGGGGAACAGCACAGAAGGUGACAGAAGAGACUCUGAGCUUGUGGCUGAGCUGGUCCAACGGAAAGGAUCAUCGCUAAGCUGUGUGUGCAACUGUGGCAGGGCCGGGCUGGGCACUGGGAUGCAGAGCUGGCAAUGGUGAAGCCCAACCCGAGCUCCACCCAGAGGAUACACGGGAGGUCCAUCAGCAACAACAAGGCUCUACCCAAUGCCCUGCCCGCACAGGGAGGGACAUUCAAACCCACUUGGCCAGUGAGGAGGGCUCGGCAGGAGACUGAAUCUUCAUCUGAGUCCCGGAGGCUCCCAGGGGGUCAUCUGCCUCUGCACCAU